rnacentral:rRNA from 1 species
GACGAACGCUGGCGGCGUGCUUAACACAUGCAAGUCGAACGGAAAGGCCCUGCUUUUGUUGGGGGCUCGGGUGGCGAGCGGGUGAGGAACACGAGAGUAACCUGCCCUGGACUUUGGUAUAACUUCAGGAAACUGGGGCUAAUACCGGAUAGGAGCUCCUGCGGCAUGGUGGGGGUUGGAAAGGGUCGGCGGUUGGGGAUGGAUGCGCGGGUUAUCAGGUUGUUGGUGGGGUAGUGGGUUACCACGGCUUUGACGGGUAGCCGGCCUGAGAGGGUGACCGGCCACAUUGGGACUGAGAUACGGCCCAGAAUCCUACGGGAGGCAGCAGUGGGGAAUAUUGUACAAUGGGCGGAAGCCUGAUGCAGUAACGCCGCGUGCGGGAUGAAGGCCUUCGGGUUGUAAACCGCUUUCGCCUGUGACGAAGCGUGAGUGACGGUAAUGGGUAAAGAAGCACCGGCUAACUACGUG